UACAGGGGGUGCAAACGUUGCUCGGAAUCAUUGGGCGUAAAGCGCACGUAGGCGGUUCGUUAUGUCGGAUGUGAAAGCCCUUGGCUUAACCGAGGAAGUGCAUCCGAAACUGGCGAGCUAGAGUACGAAAGAGGAUCGCGGAAUUCCCGGUGUAGAGGUGAAAUUCGUAGAUAUCGGGAGGAACACCGGUGGCGAAGGCGGCGAUCUGGGUCGAUACUGACGCUGAGGUGCGAAAGCUAGGGUAGCAAACGGG
rnacentral:rRNA from 1 species